CCUCUUUCUGUUUAGGGCAAUUAUGUAAUAUCCGAUUUUCUUUCACAGUGUUUAUAGUGUAAGUUGGAGCCUCUCAUAAUUUUGACAUAUGUUGUAUUCCUAUCACUACUUUCCUUACUGCCAGAAAAAAUUUGACCAUAGAGCUGCAGGCUUGCCACUGUGAUGCUGAUGUGAAACAGCCUAGUCUGAACUUCUUUGACAGCACAGACAACUCCACUGAUCGAACAAGAGGAAAGGAACAAUAGCCUGGAGCCUAUUCAAGGUGAGGGACGUGGAACCAAACCUGCGUAAAGAAAAUCCUCCGUUGAAAGUUGCCCUGUCCAUGAUUUUUUUUUUUUCUGGUGAAAAGCCCUUGCCUAGAAGUUUGGUGGAAUAAAUUACCAGCCGUAAGAAACCAAAAGCCCAGAAAUCAAAAGCCCACCACCCAUGCGUGACCUUUCAAUUGAUACAUCUUAAGUGACUUAGAAAUCCCAAGCCAGAAAAUUAAGAUUAAAAAACUUGUCUAGGGUCACAAAAAAAAAUGAUUUCUGGUUUUUUAACUGUGAGUGUGUG
rnacentral:lncRNA from 10 species